GUGUCAGCCGCCGCGGUAAUACGUAGGGGGCAAGCGUUGUUCGGAAUUACUGGGCGUAAAGGGCGCGUAGGCGGCACGACAAGUCGGGAGUGAAAGCCCGGGGCUCAACCCCGGAACUGCUUUCGAAACUGUCGAGCUAGAGUGCGGAAGAGGCAAUCGGAAUUCCCAGUGUAGCGGUGAAAUGCGUAGAUAUUGGGAAGAACACCGGAGGCGAAGGCGGAUUGCUGGGCCGACACUGACGCUGAGGCGCGAAAGCCAGGGGAGCGAACGGGAUUAGAUACCCUAGUAGUCC
rnacentral:rRNA from 1 species